UACGAAGGAUCCAAGCGUUAGCCGGAUUUAUUGGGUUUAAAGGGUGCGUAGGCGGGCUAUUAAGUCAGUGGUGAAAGCCCCAAGCCUAACUUGGGAACUGCCAUUGAUACUGAUGGUCUUGAGUACAUUUGAGGUGGGCGGAAUGUGUCAUGUAGCGGUGAAAUGCUUAGAUAUGACACAGAACACCGAUUGCGAAGGCAGCUCACUAAACUGUAACUGACGCUGAGGCACGAAAGCGUGGGGAGCAAACAGG
rnacentral:rRNA from 1 species